UACGGAGGGGGCUAGCGUUGUUCGGAAUUACUGGGCGUAAAGCGCACGUAGGCGGCUUUGUAAGUUAGAGGGGAAAGCCCAGGGCUUAACCCUGGAAUUGCCUUUGAGACUGCAUCGCUCGAAUUGUGGAGAGGUGAGUGGAAUUCCGAGUGUAGAGGUGAAAUUCGUAGAUAUUCGGAAGAACACCAGUGGCGAAGGCGACUCACUGGACACAUAUUGACGCUGAGGUGCGAAAGCGUGGGGAGCAAACAGG
rnacentral:rRNA from 1 species